UUAAUUGAAACCAAAUUAGAGGUAUAUCACUGUUAAUGAUAAAAAUGAGUAAAUUUCUCCGAUUAAA
rnacentral:tRNA from 1 species